rnacentral:rRNA from 1 species
AUUGAACGCUGGCGGCAUGCUUUACACAUGCAAGUCGAACGGCAGCGGACCUUCGGGUGCCGGCGAGUGGCGAACGGGUGAGUAAUAUAUCGGAACGUACCUUUCAGUGGGGGAUAACGUAGCGAAAGUUACGCUAAUACCGCAUAUUCUGUGAGCAGGAAAGCAGGGGAUCGCAAGACCUUGCGCUGAUUGAGCGGCCGAUAUCAGAUUAGCUAGUUGGUGAGGUAAAGGCUCACCAAGGCGACGAUCUGUAGCGGGUCUGAGAGGAUGAUCCGCCACACUGGAACUGAGACACGGUCCAGACUCCUACGGGAGGCAGCAGUGGGGAAUUUUGGACAAUGGGCGCAAGCCUGAUCCAGCCAUGCCGCGUGAGUGAAGAAGGCCUCGGUUGUAAG